rnacentral:tRNA from 1 species
GCAGUGGUGGUUCGGUGGUAGAAUUGUCACCUUCCAUGUGGGAGACCUGGGUUCGAGUCCCAGCAUAUGCA